GCGUGGGUGAAGAAGGCCUUCGGGUCGUAAAGCCCUGUCAGGUGGGAAGAACGGCCUCUUAUUCAAUAGGUAGGAGGUUUGACGGUACCACCGAAGGAAGCACCGGCUAACUCCGUGCCAGCAGCCGCGGUAAGACGGAGGGUGCUAGCGUUAUUCGGAAUUAUUGGGCGUAAAGAGCGUGUAGGCGGCCGGUUAAGUCAGGUGUGAAAGCCCGGGGCUCAACCCCGGAAGUGCACUUGAAACUGGUCGGCUUGAGUUCGGGAGAGGGAAGCGGAAUUCCUGGUGUAGAGGUGAAAUUCGU
rnacentral:rRNA from 1 species